rnacentral:rRNA from 1 species
GACGAACGCUGGCGGCGUGUUUAACACAUGCAAGUCACGGGGGCCCGCAAGGGCAACCGGCGAACGGGUGCGUAACACGUGAACAACCUGCCCUCGUGUGGGGGAUAGCCAUGCUAACGCGUGGGUAAUACCGCAUACGGUCCUUUGGGGGAGUCCCUGGGGGAAGAAAGCUCCGGCGCACGGGGAGGGGUUCGCGGCCUAUCAGCUAGUUGGGGGGUAGUAGCCACCAAGGCGACGACGGGUAGGCUGGUCGUGAGAGGAG